UACGUAGGGUGCGAGCGUUGUCCGGAAUUAUUGGGCGUAAAGAGCUCGUAGGCGGUCUGUCGCGUCGGUCGUGAAAACCUGCAGCUUAACUGUGGGCGUGCGGUCGAUACGGGCAUGACUGGAGUUCGGCAGGGGAGACUGGAAUUCCUGGUGUAGCGGUGAAAUGCGCAGAUAUCAGGAGGAACACCGGUGGCGAAGGCGUGUCUCUGGGCCGAUACUGACGCUGAGGAGCGAAAGCGUGGGGAGCGAACAGG
rnacentral:rRNA from 1 species